UACGUAGGAGGCAAGCGUUGCUCGGAAUCACUGGGCGUAAAGGGUGCGUAGGCGGGUCUUUAAGUCAGGGGUGAAAUCCUGGAGCUCAACUCCAGAACUGCCUUUGAUACUGAGGAUCUUGAGUUCGGGAGAGGUGAGUGGAACUGCGAGUGUAGAGGUGAAAUUCGUAGAUAUUCGCAAGAACACCAGUGGCGAAGGCGGCUCACUGGCCCGAUACUGACGCUGAGGCACGAAAGCGUGGGGAGCAAACAGG
rnacentral:rRNA from 1 species